rnacentral:rRNA from 1 species
UACGAAGGGGGCGAGCGUUGUUCGGAUUCAUUGGGCGUAAAGGGUGCGUAGGCGGCGCGGUAAGUCGGGUGUGAAAUCUCGGAGCUUAACUCCGAAACUGCAUUCGAUACUGCCGUGCUUGAGGACUGGAGAGGAGACUGGAAUUUACGGUGUAGCGGUGAAAUGCGUAGAUAUCGUAAGGAAGACCAGUGGCGAAGGCGGGUCUCUGGACAGUUCCUGACGCUGAGGCACGAAGGCCAGGGGAGCAAACGGG